rnacentral:rRNA from 1 species
UGAGGAAUAUUGGUCAAUGGGCGAGAGCCUGAACCAGCCAAGUCGCGUGAAGGAAGAAGGAUCUAUGGUUCGUAAACUUCUUUUUUAGGGGAAUAAAGUGCGGUACGUGUACCGUUUUGUAUGUACCCUACGAAUAAGGAUCGGCUAACUCCGUGCCAGCAGCCGCGGUAAUACGGAGGAUCCGAGCGUUAUCCGGAUUUAUUGGGUUUAAAGGGUGCGUAGGCGGAAGAAUAAGUCAGUGGUGAAAGUUUGCAGCUCAACUGUAAAAUUGCCGUUGAAACUGUUUUCUUGAGUGUAAAUGAGGUAGGCGGAAUGUGUUGUGUAGCGGUGAAAUGCUUAGAUAUGACACAGAACACCGAUUGCGAAGGCAGCUUACUAAGAUACAACUGACGCUGAGGCA